rnacentral:tRNA from 1 species
GGCCCCAUGGUGUAAUGGUAAGCACCCUGGACUUUGAAUCCAGAGAUCCGAGUUCGAGUCUCGGUGGGACCU